AGUCGGUCCUGCUCCCCAGCGGCAGAGUAUUCUACCAGGAGGGGAGAGUCUCGUUCCCCCUCCCCAGCGGCAUCAUAGCCCACCAAGGGGAGACACUAAGCCCCCCAUCAGCGCAGAUGGAACCGUUGUCUCUGCACCCAAGCUACAGAGAUUAUGGACAGUCGGUCCUGCUCCCCAGCGGCAGAGUAUUCUACCAGGAGGGGAGAGUCUCGUUCCCCCUCCCCAGCAGCAGCAUAGCCCACCAAGCGGAGACACUAAGCCCCCCAUCAGCACAGAUGGGACCGUGGUCUCUGCGCCCAAGCUACAGGGAGUACGGACAGUCGGUCCUGCUCCCCAGCGGCAGAGUAUUCUACCAGGAGGGGAGAGUCUCGUUCCCCCUCCCCAGCGGCAGCCUAGCCCACCAAGGGGAGAUGAUAA